ensembl:lncRNA
AGAGGAAGACUGAGGAGCAGUCAUAGACUACCUCCUUCCCAGGCUCUGGAACGGUGGACAUACUAGGACAUACAUACUGCUGUCAGUGUUGUCAUUUAUUGAGCUGCAAUUUUGUCCCAAACUCUCUACAUACAUCAUUUCUUUUAAUUCCCAAAGAUCCAUUUAAAAUAAGAAUUAUCCCUGUUUCACUGUAGAGAUCCCUGAUAUAGAAGUUUAUAGAGGUUCAUUAACUUGUCAAAAAAAUUUGUCAAAAAACAGAGCUGGCUUCUAUCCCAAGUCCUUCACUCUCCAAAACACUGCAUAAUACUUUGUAAACCAGUGAAGGGUUGGGGACAAGUUCAGUCAAUUUCUAGAGUCAUUUAGGAAUAAAGAUGGAGGCACAAUUCAUGUUUUUUUAUUCUUUUCCUAUACACCUCAAGUCCCAUUUACUUUGGUGCAUAUAGCUGUGAAAGUCUUCCUCCAGGGUUUUCAUUAGGUCAAGAAAGCUGAUUCACAUUCUAUGCACAAAAAAGUUUACACUGCCUAGUGAAUGGGUUCUUUGUUUCUCAGAAAGUCAUUAAAGAAGGAUAUUAAAAUUAUUCACCUCAGGAACUCACUUGAAGCUAGGGAGAUAUAAACAGAAGUUAUUUUGGGAAAAAAGUAUUCUGGGUGGAGCCUUAGGAAGAGUUGUUAUUUUUCUAAUGAAAAUGAUAGUUUUAUCUAUACUUCUUUCACCCCUUUUUCUUUCCUCUUUCUGUCUAGAAUGCAGAUGUGAUACCUAGUAGAAGGGCAGCUAUCUUGUUACUAUGAGUACAAAAACCUCUUAAUAAAGAUGACAGAGUUAGGAGUUGAAAGAAAGUUAGGUCCUUAAUUAUUUGAGCAGAUGUACAAGUCUGUAAUUGCCUAUUUCCAAGAGCGGAACAGACAACCCUUAUUUAAUUAAGCAAUUUUAGUAAUAUUAAUCUUAUAUUCAUUUCCAAAUUAUAUAGAGCUGUAUCAAAUUUUACUUCAAUACCUUUAUUUAUUGUUGGUCCUCAGCUAGAGAAAAAUCAAUUAAAAUAACCUCUAUCAUAGUAAAUCUUAACUAUAGCCUUUGCUCACAAGCAAGCAUAACCUUGAAAUCUUGAGAAUCCUUAGUUUCUCUUCGAUAGUGCAUAGGCAAGACUUUGGACAAAUAAGCAGAAUUUUUUAUUCAAUUUUCCUCUCAUUUAAAAUGAAAUUAGUCAUUCUUACAUGUAGUCUACCUGAAGGCUCCAUGUGAAAUGACUUCAAAUAUGUACAGUUAUGCUGAAGAAUGGAACUAUUUGCAUAUAAAAUAUAAUCAUUAGUAAUGCAUAUAGCAGUUUGCUCUGAUUACUGCCUGCUAUUUUAAAUUUGUUAAAGGUUGUUCAAAUAUGUUAUAAAAAUUUUAAUGAAUUAUGAGUCAAACUCUCUCAGAACAUGGUACGCUUUUUAUGAAUAUGAAUGUAAUCAGUGGGUUUCUGAGGCUCUAGAAUUAAGCAGAAUUAGGCCCACAAAAUGAUCACUUUUAGAGAUGGGAUAAAAUAGAAAGAUAAUAAAAAAUAAAAAAAGAGACAUAGGGCAGCAUAAGAUUUUUAAAAAGGAAGAGAGCUUGCUCAAAUGGGAAUCAUUGCAGUGAUCUUUAAAAAUAGAUCUUAUUAAAGUGGAAAGAAUCAACCUGUGAAUAAUGUUAUUAUACAUGUCAUGCUAACAAUUGAAUAAUUAUUCCAAUAAAGUAUUUUAAAUCUGUUAAAUAUAUUUUACAAAAAGGAAUUUAAAUAAGAAUAUGAAUAGGAAGACAAUAAAGGUGUAGUUUGCCAGUGAAUUCUGCUAGCAAAUUUUCAAAUCCCAGCGCCCAUUCUCUGAAUUUAGGGCUCACAUAUUUUGCACAUUAAUGUUCAGUAAAUAUUAAUUUUCUUCCGCCAGUUAAAAAUAAUACAAAAACACACUUGAUUAAAAUCAGUGGGUAAUUAUAAAAUGGCUUUCAAUGGUAAUAAGAAAGUUAGGAAUAAAAAAAUGCUGCAUAUGAUUUCUUUGUAUAAAUUUUUUAAAGCCUUUCAAUGAGUUAUAACAUUUUUAAUUGUAACUUCCACACAAAAGGCUAGAGUGUACCUAAAACCAUGUUAUUGCCCUUAAAAUAAGAGAUACAUAUUUAAAAUUUGGUUUCUAAAUGACCAUUUGACUUGAAGAAAAUGUGAUCACAUGAAUGUCAGUUUGGCAGAAUGGUCAUAAAUAAAAGGUAAUGACAAACCAGCAGCAUUCAGAGUGUGGCGCUAUCUCUUAUGAGGGCCACAGGGGUUGGCAUGAAGUUCCUGUCUUUUCUAACAUCUGGAUUAUUGAUGGUUAGCAUUAAUGAUGUGAGAGCAGAGCACACAGCAUGUUAAUAAAAUUUGCAGAUGUUACAAAUUUGGAAGCUGUUGCACACACCAGGAGACUAAGAAUUAAUACAAAUGGAUCUAAUGAGAUUACAAAUAUGAGAAGAAAAGAGGAAAAUUAGAUUCCAUUUAGAAAAGUGCAACCUAUCAGUCUGGGGGGAGGUAAUCCAAAACAUGUUCACUCAGCAGGUCUGAAGACAAACCUGGGAAGUAAUCAAUUUAAACAAAAAUGCAAAGUACAAUAAUAAGACUGCUGGGAUCAAAGAAGGAGUAGAGCCCCAAGAUCAGUCAGUAGUGCCAUACUUGAGCCUUUCUUACCUGGAACUGCCAUGGAAUAAGUAGAUCUGAAGGAAGAAGCCUUAAGCAUGGGACUAUUAAAUUGGAAGUCCUUAAUUUAUUAUUAAGGAGUAAGAGCAGUUCCCUUGUACCAUGGUAGCACCAAUAGCCACUUCCAAUUUGCAGGUUGAGCAACCAUGCAUACACUGAAUUGCCACUAUAUUAAAAGAAUGAGUGUUAAGAAUGCUAUCAGCAUAACUCUCCUAAACUAAGUAUAUUCAAGUUCAUGGUCCAGGGCAGCUUUCUUGUGAUGCCAAAGAAGCUAAAGACUUCAGGAAGUGGGAUAGACCUGCAAAAUAGUCGAUCUUACUCAAACGUAUAAAUGUAGCCUAGGGUGGAGCAGACCAACACAAAGUUAAGAAAGACCUUUGAAAUCUCUAUAAGUUAUGAGCUUUGUAACUUUUGGAAAAUAAUUUACCUUGUUCUAAUCUAUUGAGCUGCUAUAUAAUAUAUUGAACUUCUAUGAGUCUCUAUUUUCUCAUAUGUAAAAUAGAUGUAAUGCCUGCUUUUCAGAGUUAUUGAAUGAUAAAAAAUAACAUCCAUAAAGUACAGCACUAAUGAUCCCACUAUGAAUUUAGUUUGUUAUUCUAUGAACCUAUGAAGUUCUUUGAAGUCAAAAGGUCAGUUGGAAGUCCUUGAUCAGUUAUUUUGAGACUAUUAUAUAGGUUAUAAUUUUCAUUCUUAGAACCCACAUACAGACACACUUAGAUUAGAAAUUGUCAUAAUCAGACUAGAUAUGAUCACAGCAGUACAAAGAGUAAUGGUUCAAUAAUUAAACAGUAAUUUGAAAGCCAAGUUACCCAGGCCAGUUUAUCCUUGCUAGAGGAAGAAGGAAAGUGAGACAAUGUAAUACUGAACAUUGUAAAAAAAUAGAGGCCAAUCAGAUAGAAUAAGGCUUCAACUCUGAAGACUCAUAUGUAGAUAGCAUGAACAGCUAUGAUCUUCACCCUUUAAAGGUUCAAGUGUGGUGUUUAAAAAUCAAACUGAUAGAUAAUUGGAUUAGGAAGAUGUGGUAUAUAUGCACAACACAAUACUACUCACCAUAAAAAAAGAACAAAAUAAUGCCAUUUGCAGCAACAUGGAUGGAACUAGAGACUCUCAUACUGAGUGAAGUAAGACAGAAAGAGAAUGACAAAUACCAUAUGAUAUCACUUAUAUCCUGAAUCUAAUAUAAGGCACAAAGGAACUUUUCCAAAGAAAAGAAAAUCAUGGACUUGGAGAAUAGACUUAUGGUUGCCAAGGGGGAAGGGGAGGGGUUGGGAGGGAGUGGGAGCUUGGGGUAAAUAGAUGCAGAAUGUUGCCUUCAGGAUGGAUUAGCCAUGGGAUCCUGCUGUGUAGUACUGGGAACUCUGUCUAGUCACUUAUGAUGGAACACUUAAUGUGAGAAAAAAGAAUGUAUGCAUGUAUGUGUAACUGGGUCACCAUGCUGUACAGUAGAAAAAAUAUAUAUAAAUGAUAAAAAAAUUUAAAAAAAUCAAACUGGAAACAUAAGGCAAGAUCUGUAAUAGUGAGGCCCUAGAAGAUCAUCUUCUGUUACCACCAAAUAAGUGAUUUGUAGCAAAAGUUCACUGAGCUGAGUUACCAGAUGGGACAAAUAAUAGCCUUAGUCCCAAGAAUUUGGCAAAUAAAGAUAAAAUGGUCAUUAAUAGCAUAGUGAGCAGAGGCCAGCUUUGAAGGCCAGGAGGUAGCCCAAGAUGAGAACAAAACAAGGAACAGCUUCCUAGGCAACAGAGAUGGUUCCAUGGGUGAUGGGCUGGGAAGGUGGACAGAUGCAGACUUAAGUGAAUCAAAGCUCUGGAGAUAAAAGCAACAAUAGAAUACUGGAAAAAAAAGACCACCUAACAAAAUUCCAUAGGCCAUGAAAUCCAGAAAUCAAAUACAGCAUAUUCCUUUCCAUCAUUUCCCUAUAUUGAAUUUUUCCUUUGGUCCUGAUGAUUUGACCUCUGACAUAACUCUUAGUGUGUCUAUUUUUUUUCCCAUUUACAUGGCCACCACUACAGUUCAAGCUAACCAUUCUCUUUCAUCAGGACCCUGCCAUAUGCUCUCAAUUGAUCCCUCUGCAUCCAUUUGGAUUCCUUUUGCUGGGCAUACUCUUCCCAAUACAUUCACCAAACAGACAUUUUCAAAAGACAAAUAUAUUCAUGUAUGAAUAUUUCAUUUCAGGCUUCUGUUUAACAUGUUUCUGCAGCACUCAGCUGAAAUUAAGAUAAAGGUUAAAAGAGUGAAUACGGCAGCCAGGCCUUACAUAGUCUGGGCCUGCCUUCUUCUCUUGCUUCAUUAUGUACAACACCCUUCAUGCACUCCAACCAUUUUUCUGCUCAAUCCUGUGCCUGCUUUGACCAGGGCUAUUACCAUCAUCUCCAGUUCUUUCUUUUCACUUAAUGUAACUUGUUAAAUUUAAACUUAAUCAGCACUUCCUCAGAGAAGACUUUUCUAAGUCACUGCUCCUUCUCUUAGAUACCAUGUCACUGCAAUGUUUUUUCAGAGCUAAAAUUUUACAUUUUUUUAUGGGAUUCUGUGAUAAGAGUCUAUUUUCAACUACUCCCUUCAGGCUCAUGAAAGCAGAUUCAUGUUUCUUUAUACUGCCCCAAAAAUCUCUAGCAUAGGUCAUUAUUUGGAAGUCUUUAUACUUGGCUAUAACAUUCAUACAGCAUCUAUGGUUCUUUUACCUGUUUUCUUGGUGGGAAUUUCUUCUUUCUCUUCAGUGAGACCUCUAUGGAAAGACUGGUAUGGUAUACAAACAAAAACCACCCAAAUGUGCCUGCCCACAUUCCUAAUCCCUGGAUUCUGUGAGUACAUUACAUUACAUGGUAACUGGGGAAUUAAGUUUUCAGGUAGAGUAAUGUUGUUAAUUAGCAGUCUUUACGAUAAAGAGAUUAUCCUGGAUUAUCCAAGUGGCCCAAUGUAACACGGUGAUCCGUAAAGUGAAAGAGUGGGGCUGAAGUGUCAUAGAGAGAGGGAAAUAUGACUUAAAAAGGUCAAGGUGAUACAAUCUGAGAAGAACUUGAUCAGAUAUUUCUGGCUUUGAAGUGGAGGAAGGGAACAAGAGCCAAGGAAUGUAUAUAGCCUCUGGAAUCUGGAAAAGAACAUUGAGUGUCCCCUGGAGUCUCCAGCAAGAAAAAAGCCUGCCAACACCUUUAUUUUAGCCAAUGAGACCUGCCUGAGUCAGCUUUACAAACCGGAGAACUAGAAGAUAAUAAAUGUUGUUUAAACCACUAAAUUCAUGGUAAUUUGUUUAUUGCAGCCAUGAAUAACAAAACAUUAAUGUUUAUCUCUCUUGAAAGUAUGAAGACCUUAAUGUCAUUCAUACUGUAUUACAAGGAUAAUUAUUUUAAGAUGUUAAGAGGAUUGGGCGUGGCCUCUUCAGCCAAAUGUUUUGUUUUCUCUUCCCAUUGGCUAAUUCUAAAAAUGAAGCACACUAUUGGUUAGCUCCCAGUAAUUGCCGCUGUUGGGCGCUUCCUCUUGGCCUCUUUCCUUGGGGAAAUUGCAUCUUCUUGGAGUGACAGCAGCUGUCUGUGACUAUUACUAUUAGAGGACCCUCUCUGCUCUACCUCCUACAGCCUAAAUUUCCCAGAGGCUUCUGGUCUGGGAACUUCCCAAUUAGUGACUCUUUUAGGAUCCUCAUUCUUCCAAUGUUCAUGAAAUGAAUA